UUUCCAGACUCCUACGGGAGGCAGCAGUGAGGAAUAUUGGUCAAUGGCCGGAAGGCUGAACCAGCCAAGUCGCGUGAGGGAAUAAGGCCCUAUGGGUCGUAAACCUCUUUUGUCGGGGAGCAAAGCGAACCACGUGUGGUUCAUUGAGAGUACCCGAAGAAAAAGCAUCGGCUAACUCCGUGCCAGCAGCCGCGGUAAUACGGAGGAUGCGAGCGUUAUCCGGAUUUAUUGGGUUUAAAGGGUGCGCAGGCGGAGGUGCAAGUCAGCGGUCAAAUUGCGGGGCUCAACCCCGUACUGCCGUUGAAACUGCAUCCCUUGAGUGCGCGAGAAGUAUGCGGAAUGCGUGGUGUAGCGGUGAAAUGCAUAGAUAUCACGCAGAACUCCGAUUGCGAAGGCAGCAUACCGGCGCGCAACUGGCGCUCAUGCACGAAAGCGUGGGUAUCGAACAGGAUUAGAUACCCUGGUAUAG
rnacentral:rRNA from 1 species